AUGAACGCUAGCUACAGGCUUAACACAUGCAAGUCGAGGGGCAGCAUGGUCUUAGCUUGCUAAGGCCGAUGGCGACCGGCGCACGGGUGAGUAACACGUAUCCAACCUGCCGUCUACUCUUGGACAGCCUUCUGAAAGGAAGAUUAAUACAAGAUGGCAUCAUGAGUCCGCAUGUUCACAUGAUUAAAGGUAUUCCGGUAGACGACUGGGGAUGCGUCCCAUUAGAUAGUAGGCGGGGUAACGGCCCACCUAGUCUUCGAUGGAUAGGGGUUCUGAGAGGAAGGUCCCCCACAUUGGAACUGAGACACGGUCCAAACUCCUACGGGAGGCAGCAGUGAGGAAUAUUGGUCAAUGGACGAGAGUCUGAGCCAGCCAAGUAGCGUGCAGGAUGACGGCCCUAUGGGUUGUAAACUGCUUUUAUAAGGGAAUAAAGUGGGAGUCGUGACUCUUUUUGCAUGUACCUUAUGAAUAAGGACCGGCUAAUUCCGUG
rnacentral:rRNA from 1 species